GGUGCCAUGGCCCACGGUCUCACGGCGCGGACCGGUCCGGCGAACCGGCGGCGGACCGGUUCGGGGACCGGUGGGUGUCC
rnacentral:tRNA from 1 species